rnacentral:rRNA from 1 species
GCCAGAAGCCAUAUCACCCUGCAACUCACAACUGGCAACCCACUGAAGCUAAGUGGGUAUGAGCCUGGUCAGUACCUGGAUGGGAGACCUCCUGGUAAAAACUAAGGUUGCUGGUG